GGAAGUAAAAGUCAUAACAAGGUUUCCGUAGGUGAACCUGCGGAAGGAUCAUUACAGAGUUCAUGCCCUCACGGGUAAAUCUCCCACCCUUGAAUAUUUAUACCUUAGUUGCUUUGGCAGGCCGUGGAAACACCAUGGGCUCCGGCUUAUGCGUGCCUGCCAGAGGAAACAAACUCUGUUUUUAGUGAUGUCUGAGUACUAUAUAAUAGUUAAAACUUUCAACAACGGAUCUCUUGGUUCUG
rnacentral:misc_RNA from 1 species